GUCUACAGCCAUGCCACCCUGAACAAACCCAAUCCUGUCUGAUCUCGGAAGCUAAGCAGGGUCGGGCCUGGUUAGUACUUGGAUGGGAGACCACCUAGGAAGAUCAGGUGGUGUAGGCG
rnacentral:rRNA from 1 species